rnacentral:antisense_RNA from 1 species
GGGUGCUUGAUCCUAUUUGGUUCAAGCAUUUUAUGUAAGAACUAGAUAAGAGAAAGCCUCGUUAAUUAUUUACAUUUAUGUAACAAUCAACGAGGCGCACAUCUUAACCUAACCAAUUAAGAUUGUGCCUCCUUGAAAUUAAGGAGUCAAGGAAAAUGACCAAGUAUG